GACGAACGCUGGCGGCGUGCCUAAUACAUGCAAGUAGAACGCUGAAGGAGGAGCUUGCUCUUCUGGAUGAGUUGCGAACGGGUGAGUAACGCGUAGGUAACCUGCCUGGUAGCGGGGGAUAACUAUUGGAAACGAUAGCUAAUACCGCAUAACAGUAGAUGUUGCGUGACAUUUACUUAAAAGGUGCAAUUGCAUCACUACCAGAUGGACCUGCGUUGUAUUAGCUAGUUGGUGGGGUAACGGCUCACCAAGGCGACGAUACAUAGCCGACCUGAGAGGGUGAUCGGCCACACUGGGACUGAGACACGGCCCAGACUCCUACGGGAGGCAGCAGUAGGGAAUCUUCGGCAAUGGACGGAAGUCUGACCGAGCAACGCCGCGGGAGUGAAGAAGGUUUUCGGAUCGUAAAGCUCUGUUGUAAGAGAAGAACGAGUGUGAGAGUGGAAAGUUCACACUGUGACGGUAGCUUACCAGAAAGGGACGGCUAACUACGUG
rnacentral:rRNA from 1 species